rnacentral:rRNA from 1 species
GACGAACGCUGGCGGCGUGCUUAACACAUGCAAGUCGAACGGUGAAGCGCCUUCCUUUUUGGUGGGUGUGGAUGAGUGGCGAACUGGUGAGUAACACGUGAGUAACCUGCCCCCUUCUUCUGGAUAACCGCAUGAAAGUGUGGCUAAUACGGGAUAUUCUGGGUCUGUCGCAUGAUGGGUCUGGGAAAGAUAUUGUUUCGGUGGGGGAUGGGCUCGCGGCCUAUCAGCUUGUUGGUGGGGUGAUGGCCUACCAAGGCGGUGACGGGUAGCCGGCCUGAGAGGGUGGACGGUCACAAGGAGACUGAGACACGGCCCAGACUCCUACGGGAGGCAGCAGUGGGGAAUAUUGCACAAUGGGCGCAAGGCUGAUGCAGCGACGCCGCGUGAGGGAUGGAGGCCUUCGGGUUGUGAACCUCUUUCGCCAGUGAAGCAGGCCUGCCUCGUUUGUGGGUGGGUUGACGGUAGCUGGAUAAGAAGCGCCGGCUAACUACGUG